AGAGUGAACGCUGGCGGUAGGCCUAACACAUGCAAGUCGAACGGCAGCACAGUGGUAGCAAUACCAUGGGUGGCGAGUGGCGGACGGGUGAGGAAUACAUCGGAAUCUACCUUUUCGUGGGGGAUAACGUAGGGAAACUUACGCUAAUACCGCAUAAGACCUUCGGGUGAAAGCCGGGGACCUUCGGGCCUGGCGCGGAUAGAUGAGCCGAUGUCGGAUUAGCUUGUUGGCGGGGUAAAAGCCCACCAAGGCGACGAUCCGUAGCUGGUCUGAGAGGAUGAUCAGCCACACUGGAACUGAGACACGGUCCAGACUCCGUACGGGAGCAGCGAGUGGGAAUAGUUGGACAAGU
rnacentral:rRNA from 1 species